rnacentral:rRNA from 1 species
UACGUAGGGGGCAAGCGUUGUCCGGAUUUAUUGGGCGUAAAGAGCGUGUAGGCGGCCAGAUAGGUCAGCUGUGAAAACUCGAGGCUCAACCUCGAGACGUCGGUUGAAACCAUCUGGCUAGAGUCCGGAAGAGGAGAGUGGAAUUCCCGGUGUAGCGGUGAAAUGCGCAGAUAUCGGGAGGAACACCGAUGGCGAAGGCAGGUCUCUGGGCAUUAACUGACGCUGAGGAGCGAAAGCAUGGGGAGCGAACAGG